rnacentral:rRNA from 1 species
CCCUUAGAAGUCCUGGGCCGCACGCGCGCUACACUGAUGCAUUCAACGAGUGUACCUUGGCCGAGAGGCCUGGGCAAUCUUUUGAACGUGCAUCGUGAUAGGGAUAGAUUAUUGCAAUUAUUAAUCUUGAACGAGGAAUUCCUAGUAAACGCAGAUCAUCAAUCUGCAUUGAUUACGUCCCUGCCCUUUGUACACACCGCCCGUCGCACCUACCGAUUGGAUGGUCCGGUGAAGCCUCGGGAUUGUGGCGGUUGCCUUUAUUGGUGGCCGCCGCGAGAACUUGUCUAAACCUUAUCAUCUAGAGGAAGGUGAAGUCGUAACA